rnacentral:rRNA from 1 species
AUGGGUUCUAUUACAAUGUUUGUGUCUUGGGAGCUAUGGAACGAGGGCAACGCAAGGAUCUUCAACAACAAAUUUUCUACGUCAAUAGUUAUCAUGGCCAAAAUCCGGUGCGAGGCGAGAAAUUGGGGGCUUGCUGGCGCAACUCAUUUGCAAAAUCUUAUGCCUGGAGAGUAG